GCAUUUUAGCAAUGGCUGCAUCCAUGUCUUUCUGACUGUACUUGAGCACAUCAAUGAUGUCCUCUGAGCUUGCAGGCUGCCUGAAAGCUGGGACGAGGCUCUCGAGGAUUUGGGGAGUCUGUGGGACAACAAAAACAUGGAGGUGCACGCAGACAGUCAUACCGUGAAAGGAGAGACGUGGGGUGAGGGGCUUGUAGUGGAAAGCCAGGGGCUCCAAUCUUCUUCGGGCUUUCCCUCAGCAAGGGGUCGAACUUAAGGUACAAGGACUGUUUGCGCAGUGCAGACUCCUUGAACUUCUUGCAUACAAAAUCCAUAUUUAGACAAAAA